CCACGAUGUGUGAUCCCGGCGCCGGCGC
rnacentral:sRNA from 1 species